UACAGAGGGUGCAAGCGUUGUUCGGAAUUAUUGGGCGUAAAGCGCACGUAGGCGGUUCGUUAAGUCGGAUGUGAAAGCCCUCGGCUCAACUGAGGAAGUGCACCCGAAACUGGCGAGCUUGAGUACCGGAGAGGGUGGCGGAAUUCCCCAAGUAGAGGUGAAAUUCGUAGAUAUGGGGAGGAACACCGGUGGCGAAGGCGGGCCCACCUGGACGGUCACUGACGCUGAGACGCGAAAGCGUGGGGAGCAAACAGAUCGAGAAA
rnacentral:rRNA from 1 species